GAGGGAGACGCAAGAGGGAAGACAUAUGGGAACAUAUGUAUAUGUAUAACUGAUUCACUUUGUUAUAAAGCAGAAACUAACACACUGUUGUAAAGCAAUUAUACCCCAAUAAAGAUGUUUUAAAAAAAAGAGAGAAAGACAAAUACCGUAUGCUAACACAUAUAUAUGGAAUUUAAGAGGAAAAAAAAUGUCAUGAAGAACCUAGGGGUAAGACAGGAAUAAAGACGCAGACCUACUGGAGAACGGACUUGAGGACAUGGGGUGGGGGAAGGGUAAGCUGGGACGAAGUGAGAGAGUGGCAUGGACAUAUAUACACUACCAGACGUAAAAUAGCUAGCCAGUGGGAAGCAGCCGCAUAGCACAGGGAGAUCAGCUCGGUGCUUUGUGACCUCCUAGAGGGGUGGGAUAGGGAGGGUGGGAGGGAGGGAGACGCAAGAGGGAAGAGAUAUGGGAACAUAUGUAUAUGUAUAACUGAUUCACUUUGUUAUAAAGCAGAAACUAACACACCAUUGUAAAGCAAUUAUACUCCAAUAAAGAUGUAAAAAAAAAAAAAGUUAAACAUAUACCUAUUUUGUAUCCCAGCUAUUCCACUUCUCUGUAUUUACCCAAGAGAAAUGAAAGCAUGUCCACAAAAAGACUUGUUUAUGAAUGUUUCUGACAGCUUUAUUUGUAAUAGCCCCAAACAGAAACAGCACAAAUGUCUAUCAACAGGAGAAUGGAUGAACAAAAUAUGGGAUAUCUGUACUGUAGAAUACUACUCAGCAAUAAAAGGGAACAAACUAUUGAUACAAGCAACAGGGAUGAGUCACAAAAUAAUUACACUAAAGAGGAAGAAGCCGGGAUGGGUGUGGGAAGUAUAUACUACAUGACUCCAUUUAUGUGGAACUUUAGGAAAGGCAAAUGAACCUGUAUUGGCAGAUCAAUUUUGCCUGGGGAUGGGCGGAGGAAUAUUAAUGGGGGGGUGUAGAGAAAAUGAUUACAAAGGGGCAUGAGGAAAUUUUGGGGGUGACAAAUGUGUUCAUAAUCUUGAUUAUGAGGAUGGUUUCUUAUAUAUAUGUCAAAACUUACUGUAUACUUCAAGUAUGUGUAGUUUAUUACAUUAAUUAUACCCCUCCAUAAAGAAGUCCCACCCCCAAUGACUUACGUACCAUAAACAUUUUAUUUACAUCAGGAAUACACAUUCAUUGGACAGAUUUGCUUCUUUUGUUAGUUUUCAUGUGUGAUUCCUGCACUUGUAGGGCCAUGCUGCCUUUCUUGCAAAAUCUCGUUUUGUGAUGCAUUAUCUAAGAAACCCCCCAUCUCGUUCUCUUCAAAAUGGAAUAAGAACUUAAAGACAUAUGAGAAACAGUGUAAAUUUACCAACUCUCUAGACUUUGGGGAUUUCUGUCCCCUAAUCUUUUACUGUAUUAUCUCCUAUGUUUAACUCAACAAUGUUUUUGUGUGUGUAUGAUUUGUCCUAUCGUUCCAAAGCAUCCUACUGAGUUACUGAAAUAGUAUUUUCUUUAUAUAAUUAUAUGUCAGUGGUUUAUGUACUAUUUUUAUUAAAUUAUAUUAUUGCAGUGCCAAGUGUAACUGGCAUAAACAAGGUUGGGAACAAACAUGACUAACUUUUGGUAAGCACACAGCUUUGCAGGGGGAAACUGUAUGCAGACCCUGCCUACUAGAAGCUACCAGCCACUAGCAUCCACUGUACUGAAGGCAUUCAUCACAGUGCAGUUUUACAAAAUGAAUUGGAGUCAGUGCAUUUGCUGGAUUGGCUAAGGAAAAGUUGAUUGAGGAAGAUUCUACUGCUCAAGCAUGCUAAUGCUGACCUUCCUCAGCUGUAAGUAUUAAGAGUCUCUGCCUGGGGAUAGGGGUAUUAUUAAGGUUUAAGUGAAGUAAUGUAAAUAAAGUGCUUAGUGCAAUAAAGUGCUUUAGCACUUAUCCUGGCAUGUAGUAAGUGCUAAAAAUGUGCCUAAUUUUGAUCAUGUGUGUUAUUUCAGAAAACAUCUUUAUAACAUUAGGGCAGGAAGGACCUUAGAGAUUGACUCAAUCCGUUUAUUUUACAGAUGAGGAAAGUGGCUGAACAACACACACAUUUGCAAGCAGGGCUGAAGGUCGCGCAAUCGCCAACAAGUUGAUAAUCUCAGGAUGCUUCCCAGGAGGCUUCUUCCUAAGGGGCUUCUGAAAGUCUAGAGAGUUCUUUAAUACCAGGGGAGGAAUUGCACACUUUAUGUCAGACUCAUAAAAGAGCUUCUUUUGAGGGCAGCCUUACUUGUUCAGAAGGCAGAUCAUCUUCAAUAGCUGUGAACAUCUUUUAAAAACAUUUGCUGAAUUCUACUUUUGAAGUGUCGGUAUUCCUUCACACAGCUGAAAUCAGUGGGUGUGUGAAGCGAGCUAAAACCAGGCCUCAGUGAGCCGCGAAGGGAGUCAGGAGGUUGUGGGACUAAUAAACAGAUGAAAUCUGAUUUAAUAAGGUGGGUUAGAAAUUUUAUGAAACCGACGUUUGCUUUUUCCCACUUGGGUGUAGCUUCAAACUAAGACCUACGCCUUCUUGGGCUGGAAAAUGAUCCAUUUCUUCCCCUUCAUGGUGAAAACAAACCGGCCUACCAAUUGUGCUAUAGGGAUUGUAUUUUUCAUCUGAAGUUUGCCCAUGGAGGCUGGCAUCCACACUCCAGACUUGGUGCAGUGAACAUCACUUGCAAAUGCUAACACUUGGAAUGUGACGGAAACAGAUCAUGGUCACCCUGUGCUGGCCAGGAUGAUGCCCUUCGGUACUGGUGUUUGCCUCUACUGGCCCGAUGCAGCUUGAGGGAUCCAAGUUGCAAUGCACCUGCUGACAUGCUGCAGGGUUGUUAACCCCUGACAGGCAUCUGAACUCAGCCGACCAGGGCCAGUAACCUGGCUUCGGAGGCAGGAAGCCUGGGUUUAAAUUGUGCCUCUCACACACUCAGGCCCAUCACUUAACCUUUGGAAUCGUGCUUUCUGUCACAACAGGAAAACGUAAAUACCAACUUUCUAACAUUCUUAGAGUGAGGUUUAAUGAAUUAAUAGCUUCAUGAAUUUAUAAACUCUAAUGAGAAAUAGACACAAGAGGUUAUUAAAGUGAGCAAGUCAGUAAUGACUCCAUUUGCUUCUACUUUAAAAAAAUAUGUAAUGAGAACACUCCCUAACACCACACACAAAAAUAAACUCAAAAUGGAUUAAAGACCUAAAUAUAAGGCCAGACACUAUAAAACUCUUAGAGGAAAACAUAGGCAGGACACUCUAUGACAUAAAUCACAGCAAGAUCCUUUUUGACCCACCUCCUAGAGAAAUGGAAAUAAAAACAAAAACAAAUGGGACCUAAUGAAACUUAAAAGCUUUUGCACAGCAAAGGAAACCAUAAGCAAGAUGAAGACAACCCUCAGAAUGGGAGAAAAUAUUUGCAAAUGAAGCAACUGACAAAGGAUUAAUCUCCAAAAUUUACAAGCAGCUCAUGCAGCUCAAUAUCAAAAAAACAAACAGCCCAAUCCAAAAAUGGGCAGAAGACCUAAAUAGACAUCUCUCCAAAGAAGAUACACAGAUUGCCAACAAACACAUGAAAGAAUGCUCAACAUCACUAAUCAUUAGAGAAAUGCAAAUCAAAACUAAAAUGAGGUAUCACCUCACACCAGUCAGAAUGGCCAUCAUCAAAAAAUCUACAAACAAUAAAUGCUGGAGAAAAGGGAACCCUCUUGCACUGUUGGCGGGAAUGUAAGUUGAUACAGCCACUAUGGAGGUUCCUUAAAAAACUAAAAAUAGAACUACCGUAUGACCCAGCAAUCCCACUACUGGGCAUAUACCCUGACAAAAUCAUCAUUCAAAAAGAGUCAUGUACCACAGUGUUCGUUGUAGCUCUAUUUACAAUAACCAGGACAUGGAAGCAACCUAAGUGUUCAUCGACAGAUGACUGGAUAAAGAAGACGUGGUGCAUAUAUACAAUGGAAUAUUACUCAGCCAUAAAAAGAAACGAAAUUGCGUUACUUGUAGUGAGGUGGAUGGACCUAGAGUCUGUCAUACAGAGUGACGUAAGUCAGAAAGUGAAAAAAAAAAACUAUAUGCUAACACAUAUGUAUGGAAUCCAAAAAAAAAAGAUGGUUAUGAAGAACCUAGGGACAGGACAGGAAUAAAGACACAGACAUAGAGAAUGGACUUGAGGACAUGGGGAGGGGGAAGGGUAAGCUGGGACAAAGUGAGAGAGUGGCAUGGACAUAUAUACUACCAAAUGUAAAACAGAUAGCUAGUGGGAAGCAGCCACAUAACACAGGGAGAUCAGCUCAGUGCUUUGUGUCCACCUAGAGGGGUGGGAUAGAGAGGGUGGGUGGGAGAUGCAAGAGGGAGGAGAUAUGGGGAUAUGUGUAUUCGUAUAGCUGAUUCACUUUGUUAUAAAGCAGAAACUAACACACCAUCGUAAAGCAAUUAUACUCCAAUAAAGAUGUUAAAAAAAAAUAGCAUCUGGGACUUUUCUGGUUGUCCAGUGGUUAAGACUCCAUGCUUCCACUUCAGGGGUGCAGGUUUGAUCCCUGGUCAGGGAACUAAGAUCUUGGAUGCCGCAUAGCAAAAAAAAAAAAAAAAAAAGCAUCUAUCCCUGCCUUUAACUUUUGGUGUUAAACAUCUGUGACUUUCUCACUAAAAUAAAUCUUUCACAUGUCAUUCUUGACAUGCUAAAUGCUAGUCAAUUCAGCAUUUAUUGAGCACAUACUAUGUGCAGGUGUAGGAGCCAAAAGGAGUCAUGAUUAUUUGUUCAGAAGGCUGAUCACCUUCAAUAGCUGUGAACAUCUUUUGAAAACUCUGCUGAAUUCUACUUUUGAAGUGGUGGUAUUCCGUGAGAGGUGACAAGACUCCUCAAGGAGGGAGGUGUACCCGGGAGCCCCAUGGAGUGUGUGUGGUUCAGACAUCAACAGUCUUGAAUGAGCAAUCAAGGGCAUGUUCCCCAGACAGAAUGGAAACUGGCUGUUGGCCCUUGCCUGCCUCAUGUGAAACACCAAGUUUAAUUUCAGGUCUGUGUCAUGUGAAAGUAACUUCCUAAUGCUGGUGUUCUUAUUUAGCAAGUCUGCUUAACUAAGCCUCUUCUAUGAGUAGCUAAACGUACACGUAAUUCAGUUUUCUUUUUAAUUUUUAAUUAAUUAAUUAAUUAAAUGUUGGCCGCAUUGGGUCUUGGUUGCUGAGCACAGGCUUUCUCUAGUUGAGAGCGGGGGUGGGGCGGCUACUCUUCGUUGCUGUGUGCGGGCUUCUUGUUGCAGUGGCUUCUCUUGUUGUGGAGCACAGGCUCUAGGCACCCAGGCUUCAGUAGUUGUGGCACACAGGCUUAGUUGCUUUGUGACAUGUGGGAUCCUCCCGGACCAGGGCUCCAACCCGUGUCCCUUGCAUCGGCAGGUGAAUUCUUAACCGCUGCGCCACCAGGGAAGUCCCCGUAAUUCAGUUUUUAAUAAUCUAUCAUUAAUGGCUUUUUUUUUGAGUUGAUAAUAUCUUAUGAACCUUCAUAAGACUUAAUCCAAGAUGAGUUUUCUCUGUUGAGUGGUUCUGAUAGAUCCAGUACACUGUUACUUGGAUUAUCCUGAGUAACAGUGAAAUAAGUGGAGGCUGAAUCCUGGUUUUUACUCCUGGUUUAUUUGUUCAACUAAUUAACAUUUGGGGACUCCUUUAAAGUCACAGGUCUUGUAGAUAUACUUGAUUACUUAAUGUCAGCUGAGGGAUGUAAACUAAGGACAUUGAGGGAAAUAAAAUCUUGGAGUAUAGUUUUAGCUCAGAAAGCUCUUUACAGCUAUUAAUCAAAUGUCACCUUUACGAAGCCUACCCUGACCCCCCUAUUUAAACAGCAAUCCUCUGGCAUCCCUGAUUUCCCUUUUCCUGCACUGUUUUUUAAUAGCAGUCUUCACCUUCUGUCUUAUUUAUUAUGCUUAUUGUUUAUUGUGUGUGUCUCUAAUAAAAUCUAAGCCCCUUAAGGGCAUGUAUUUUUCUGGGGUGGGUGUGGGUGUCUGUUUCGCUGGUAAAUGCCAAAUGUCUAGAAUAGUGCUUUGUCACAGAGUAGGUGCUCUGAGUAGUUAUUGAAUGAAUGAAUAAAUAGGUGACCAGGAUCACAAAGAGUGAUGUUUUCAUUUGAUCACUCCAUUAAGACUAUUGCUAAGUUCAUCAGUGACCUCCAUAUAUUAAAGCUAGUGGACAUUUCUCAGCCCUCACUGUACUUAAAUUUUGAGCAUUUAAUACAGCGAUCACUCCCUUUGUCAGGGCACCAUGCCACAGGUUCCAGUUUUUCCUCUUACCUUACUGGCUAGCUUCCUCUCAAUCCUUCCCCACCUGGCUCUUUUCAUCUCCCCACUCACUUAACCGUGAAGUACCCAGUGGUCACUCUUCGACCCUCUUCUUUGUUCUAUCUAUACUCAUGGUCUCAUCCUGUCUCCUGACUUUAAAUGCUAACCAUAUAGUGAGGAUACCUACAUUACAUAUCUAGCCUAGACUUCUUCCCUUAACUCUAGGCUGCAUUAGUUCAAAAACAAAUGAACCCCACAUUUCAGUGGCUUUUACACUGACACACAUUAUUUCUUGCUCAUGGGUUUGUAGUUCAGCUGCAUCUCAGCUCCAGGCUAUAGGUUGGGUUCAGAUUUUUCCCUUUGUUCCAUAGAUGGAUCUUCUCUGUCUUCUCAUUCUAGGUACCAGUCUGAAGGCACCACCUCUGUCUGGUCUGGUCUAUUCUCUUGUAGCAGAGAGCAGGAAUGAAAGGGUAGGUGGGGAUUUUUGAUGGCCAAGACCAAAGUCAAUAAAAUAGGGAAGUAUACUCCAUCAGCUGAAAGGGAGAGAAUGAUGUCGAACAAUACAAUCUAGCCGAAUUGUCUAUUAGACAUUUCAGGCUUCACAUGUCCCACACCGAGUUUCUGAUCUUUCCCUCCGAAACUGCUCCUCCCACAUCCCUCUCCAUUUUAGUUACUGGCAACUCCAGUUGCUUAGACCAAGAUCCUUCGGAUCAUGCUGGACUCUUCUUCUGCAUAUUCUAUAUCCAAUAUUUUAGAAAGUACUGUCGACUCAGCCAUUGAAAUAUGUUUGGAAUCCAAACACUUCACACAGCCCAGUGCUGCUGCUUGGUCAUUGUCAAUGUCACUGUCAAGAGACAAAGUCAUUGUUUCUUGCUCAGCUCGUUGCAGUAGCCCUCCAGUCCCUCUUACUGCUUCUGCCUUGCCCUCUCAGUGAAUUUUCAGCAUAACAGUCCCACCUGAAACUGUGUAAUGCUUCCGCCUUUCUCUUAGAGUAAAAGUCAAAAUUCUUAGACUGGCCAACAAGAAACUACAUGGUCUGGCCCCCAGUUACUUCUCUAGUGCAUCUGUUACCACUCCUUCCCUUGUUUACUUUGUUUCAGUGAUGUUUCCUUGCUAUUUCUCUAACUUACCAAUGUGUUUCCACUUGCAUUAGUUUUCCAUCACUGAUAUAACAAAUGCCCACAAACUUAGCAUCUUCAAACAACAUAAAUUUAUUAGCUUACGGUUCUGUAGGGCUGAAGCCUGACACAGGUUUCGCUGGGCUAAAAUCAAGGUGUUGCCUGGGCUGCAUUCUUUUCUGGGGGCUCCAGAGGAGGAUCUGUUUCCUUGCCCUUCCAGCUUCUAGAGGCUGUCCACAUUCCUUGGUUCAAGGCCCCCUCCCUCCAUUUUCAAAGUCCACAAUGGUGAGUUGAGUCCUCCUAAUAUUGCAUCACUCCAACAUCAUUUUCUACCUCCCUCUUCCACUUUUAAGGACCUUUGUGAGUACAUUGGGCCCAUCCAAUAAUUCAGAAUAAUUUCCCUAUUUUAAGGUCAGCUGGUUAGCAACACUGCUUCCGUCUGCAUUACUCAGCACCCAGUUCUACAAGGGUUAAGUCAUAACCAGCUGCAGUUGCUAACCGACAAGGCACCCUGAGAAGAAGUUAAGAUGAUGACAGGGUGAGGCCCUCUGUGCUUUGGACAAGAAGGCCCCUUAGGCAGUUAGAUGCAUAUCUCAGGAAGAAUUUGAAUGAACCCAGAUUCUUGCAUCUUCCCAUACAUAGAAAAGCACUAAAAUCAUUAACUUGAGAUAUUGGUUCUUUGUGAUUAGCAGUAGUAGCCUUUUACCAAGAUGUAUGCUUGACUGAAAGUAUUCCCUUGCCAAAAAUCAUAUAUAAACUGGCUUCUCUCUCGCCUCUUCAGAGCAGUUCCCUCAGAGCUACUGAAAGGCUGUCUCCUGAGCUAUACUCCUCAGCAAGACCCAGAAUAAAACUUAAACUUACAACUCUUAUGUUGUGUGUUUUUCUUUAAGUUGACAACUGGAAUGAUCACGAGGAGACAUCUGUCAAAAAUAAAUGUAAAAUGUGUGCAGGGGUCCCAAAAGCCAGCUACAUGUUAUGAUGGGGGUGACAUACUUAUUGGGAACAUUUGACUCAACAUGGAUUAGGAUGUGAUGCAGAAAUGUGGAAUCUAGAACUACACUCUCCACAAGGUAUCCAUUUAACAAACCGGGCUGUGCAAAAUAAAAUUAGUUAAAUAAAAUAGAACACAAAUUUUAGUUCUUUGGUUUCAGUAACCACAUUUCAAGCACCUACUAGCCCAGGGAGGCUGGUAGUUACUGAGUGAGACGGUGCAGCUGUAGAACAUUUCUAUCAUUGCAGAAAGUUGUGUUGGAUGGUGCUAGUCUAGAGUGCAGGCAGUGGUCACGUCUUUAUACCAUGCACUGGUCCUACCACAUCAAGGAUAUGGUUAUGCUGGAUCUGAGUAACACAUUUCAGAGGGACAUAGACCAAAUAGAGCAUUUGAGAUUAGAGGGCCUGGAAAAUGAGGGAAAUGAAAAUCAUGCCCUACGAGGUACGUUGAAGGACCUGGGUAAUUAGCUAGGAGAAGGGACAGUACCUCCUCUACGCUGAACGUCAAGGCUAACACGAGGAAGAGGAAGGAGUUGCCCUCAUGGCCCAAGGGGUAAACCAAAGACUAAAUUAGUGGACGUUAGAGGAAGCAGGAAUCGUUAUGCUAUGCAAACUCAAUAAUUUAGAGGAGUUCUGGAGUCAGACAGCCUGUGUUCAAAUCCUGCACUGAAUCUUCCUUUUUGGAUGAAUUUGGGCAGGUUAUGUAACCUCUCUGAGCUCCAUUUCUCUCAUCUGUAGAAUAGGACCAUAUUAGUAUCUUCCUCAUUGCUUUAUUGAGGAGAAUAAAAAAUAUUAUAUAUACAAAAUUGAAUAUCUAACAAGUUAACUAGUAUUAUUAUGUCAUAUUCUGGCUGAUAUAAGGAAGUUCAUCUAAACACUGAAUGAGCUGCUCUGGGGUUAUAAGUUCCCAUCGCUGGAGAUGUUUAAUGUGAUGACAAUUUUGGGGCAGGGAGUAUGGAGGGCACUGAAGCUCUGAGUAAGAGGCUGAGUUGGAGUAUUACGUUUCCUUCCUGUAUAAGCAUGUACGGUUAUUUUGUUUUGUUUUGUUUCAUUUUCUGUCUAUUUUCACCAAGGCUGUCCCCAAGUCUUGAGCAUUUUUGACUCGGUCAGGUGACAGUUCAUACUUUCUUGCUGACCUUGAGGGAUGGAGCAGGAGGAAGAGGAAGGGAGGGAAGGAGGAUGAAUGAAGGCUGAGCCUCAGCCUCUGGGUCCUGCCCAGUACCCACCAGUCGGCACUCCUCAAAAAGAGACUAGAGAAGCAUAAGGCCAGUCCUCAGACCAGUGCAGGUAUUCUAGAAAGAACGAGGGCCAGAGCAGCCUUAGGCUUCUGUGGCAGGUUCUGAGAGAAGUCCAGAGUGGUGUAUGCCUGUCCUCCCAGCAGCUCACCUAAUGGCUAACUGUGGAUUUGUAGUAGCUGAUAGUUGCUGUAAGUCUAAACUGUCUAAACUGAAUUGUAGGAAUAAGGCAUAUGAGAAAUUUUAUCAGGUCAGCAGUCAAAAUGAUCGGAUGGAAACAUUUUCAAAACUACUUUGCACAGAACCUUGCAAAAAGAAGGGGGUUGGGAUGGAUGGAAAACAUGAUGAAUGAAUCUUUAUGGGUAAAAAUAGGAGCUAACAUAAAUAUUUAAUACCUAAUACUCAAGUUAUUGCUCACCUGGACUGUAUUCAAAAGUAAAAUCAUAGUAUAAUACCAGAAACUUUAGCAGGGCCUCAGAUACAAUUCUCACACUAGUAGCUUAAGAAGUUUUAGUUUGUAAAUGUUCAUUUCUCCCUUAAGUCUAUGUAUCUUGCAUCCAACAGGGCACUUCUUGGCCCAUUUCCUAUCAUUUGCAUUUACCUGGUCUCCUCCCAGUGGAGGAGGCUCACCUGUACAGCUUAUUAGAAUAUGCCUGGAUGAUGGCUGUGCCUCCUGGCUAAAACACCAGGAUCUCUCUGUAGGGAAGGGGCCCCCCGGGGUGUUCAGGUUCUGCUACCCAGCUGCAAAAGUGUGACCGCAUCACUGUGUGUUGGGGUCUUGACUUAAUAGGGUGUUUACUUACUAACUAGCCUAAUGUCUGUCUGUCUGUCUGUAUUUUAAGAUUUCCUGAUGUCAUUAGGCACUAAAAACGUUUAAAAAUGUAUUUUACUAAUCAUUGUCAGAAAUGUGCUAUCAGCACAUGUAGAGGAGUUUGUGAAUACAGGGAAAGGAUCUAGCACUUUGAGAGUUUUCCUGGCAAGAUUUUCUGAAAGGCAGGCCAAGAGGAUGCUUAGGGCAUCUGCAAAACAGCUAUUUUGAGAACAAAAUUCCAAAUAUUUUAUUUGUUAAUUGGUAACUCAAAAAACAAACCAAAACAAAACAAAAAAGAAGUCAUCAUGACUUUUUUUUUUUUUUUUCAUCAUGACUUCUUAAUCUAAGUUUAGUGACAGGGGGUUAUUUAGAACACAGGGAAAGAUGGGAAACCUGGAUUCCUCCCAGUUCCAUACUUUGAGAUCUACUCUGUGGAGUGAAUUGUGGCUGGGUUCCUCGAGUGGGUUUGCCAGUUGUGGACUACAGAUACAGCUUUAUCAUCUUUCUGUUGUUGGUCUAGUGUAGAUCAUUCAUCCUUCUGUCCCUAGUGCCUCACCCAGCAUCUGGUUCAGGGUGAGUCCUUAAUAACUGUGGUCUAUGUCAAACUCUGCCCUGGCUGGCUUGCCCACGGCUCACUUAAGUGGAAUACAGCCUGGAUCCCAACUGUAGUUUAGUUUCGUUUGUUCAGAGCAAAAUAAACUUUCUUGAGACUUUUUCAGCCUAACCAUGGUAAACAAUCACUAACUCUGGCAGAAGACGAGGCCACCUUAACCUCUGUAUAAAGGUGGUUCAGGCCCGUGGCUGGGUGACGGGCCGACCCGGCUAGCCGCGACGCCGGCUACAUCUGCAGUGCUCAGUAGGUGGCGCUCGUGCUCUCUUUGUGCCGGAGCCGGCGGCAGCCAGCGCUGAGGCCGUGGGUUUGGUCCAGAUGGUCAACUCAAAGCAGCUCCUUGGGCAAGCAGCUGCACAAACCCAUGAUCGGCGCGGUGGCAGCCGCCUCUGACUGUCCCUGCUCGCAGGCUGGUUCAGAGUAAAGGCCUUUGGAAUCUGUGAGGCUGGAGACAAGAAGCUAAGCCACUGUCUAAAAUAAGCAGGUUAGGAGUCUGCUCUCUGGUUCCCUGUAGGAGAGUCCGGGAGCAGCUUGGAGGCUGAGACCAGGCUGCAGGGAGGCUCUUCCCUCCUGUAACUCUGUUCUGGAAAAUCUCAUCAAUGUGGCCAACUCUCUAAAGUCCUGUCUUGGAACCAAAUUAGUGAAAAUCAAGAGCAUCUUGAACCAGUGACAGAAUUAUAUUUUUUAUACCUAUGUGCUGGCUUCUGGUCAGUCUUAAUUUCUAACAUUCUGUCUUAUUGCCAAUAUAAGAGCAUUAGCCCUCCUCAGACAGUGCCUCCCUCUAUUUGGGGUAUAGAAAAUGUGGUCACCAUAAUUACCCUCCAUUUUCUGACAGCUGAGUCUCGAGCAAUGUUAUGGACCGAAUGUUUGUGUUCCCUCCAAGUUCCUUUGUUGAAAUCCUAAUCCCCAAUGUGAUGGUAUUUACAGGUGGUGCCCUUGAGAGGUGAUUAGGUCGUAAGGGUGGAGCCCUCAUGAAUGGUAUUAAUGCCCUUGGAAAAGAGGCUCCAGAGAGCUUUCUCGCCCCUUCCACCAGGUGAGGACACAGUGAGAAGAUGGCCAUCUAUCAACCAGGAAGCAGGCUCUCACCAGACACUGAAUCUGGUGGCACCUUGAUCUUGGGCUUCCCAGCCUCCAGAGCUAAAUAUGAGAAUGUUACAAAUGAACAAGAAAAAGACAGAUGACCCAACGGGAAAAAAAGGGAAAAAAAUCAUGCAUGUCUAAAAAGAGGAUAUCCAUCCACUUGGCCAGUAACUAUAAGAAAAGAUGUUCAACCUCAUUAGUCAUCCAGGAAAGGCAAAUUAAAAUGACAAUCAGAUACUGUUACACACACCCAAAUGGCUAAAAUUAAACUGCCUGAUGAUACCAAGAGGAGGACAUAGAGCAACAGCAGCUCUCAUACACUGGUUGUUGAAAUAAUUGGUACAAUCUCUUUGGAAAACGAUUUGGUAGUAUCUCCUACAGCUGAAGAGGCACAUGCCAUAUAACCCAACAAUUCCUCUCCUAAGUAUAUAGGUAGGAAAUGUCACAGCAAAGUUAUUUGUAGCAGCCAAUAAUUGGAAACAAUUUAAAUGUCAGCCAGCAUUAGAAUGGAUAAAUAAAUUGUGGAAUAGUCAUAUAAUAGAUUACUGUAUGACAGUGAAAAUGAAUGAACUACUACAAUCAUGGAUGUGUAACAUGGAUGAAUCUCACAUGUAUAGUUUCGAUCACAGAAGAAGACACAGAAGAAUACCUUUAUAAAGUAAAAAACCCCAACAACCACAACAGCAUACAUACACAUAUAUACACACAGAAGUAAAACAAAUCCCUGUUGCUGUACGUCAGGAAGGUUGCUCCCUCUGGAGGUGUGGAGGUGAGGGAACUUCUAGGACACUCGGCUGUGUUUUAUUUCUUGACCUGGGUGGUAGUUUACACGAAAGAAUUCUCAUUGUACUAAUUCAGUAUUUUUGCAAUAAACAGAUUUUAAAGAUAUGUUGAGAAAUUAAAGAGAAAAAUGAGAUUUUUAAAACAUUUUGAUGUAAGUUCAAUGAUUAUCAUUGUAAACUCUUCUUUUUGGUGUGCCGCACUUCAAUUAUUUCAGCUUUCUCCUCAUCCUUCUUUCCCAGGGCUCUCUGAGUGCAGAUGGGCAGCAACCUGACUCACACCCUCUUAAACAAAAAGGGAAAUGCUUGAUCUGUAAAGGCCAACUGGAUUCAGGGGCUCAAAUAUGGUUAUCAGGAUUAUGUCUGUUCUCUCAUCUUACAACUCCACUCCCUUCCUCUUUUUUUUUUUUUUUUUUGAGGUACACGGGCCUCUCACUGUUGUGGCCUCUCCCGUUGCGGAGCACAGGCUCUGGACGCGCAGGCUCAGCGGCCAUGGCUCACGGGCCCAGCCGCUCCGCGGCAUGUGGAAUCCUCCCGGACCGGGUCACGAACCCGUGUCCCCUGUAUCGGCAGGCGGACUCUCAACCACUGCGCCACCAGGGAAGGCCCUCACUCCCUUCCUCUUGACACUAUUCUGCACGAAGACUAUCUUCACGUGGUAGAAUUCCAGCAGAAAGAACCAAGAGGUAGAUUUCACUGGGCUCUUCCGGGUAAACUUAGGCACACUGAAUUCAAGGGGCUUCAGUACCCACAAACCCCAAGAUAACAUAAGAGUAAAAACAGUGUGGUUGCCAUGAAGCAAAUGCAACUUCAUGACAUGUCAAGUAGCCUCCCGCCCCUCUUUACAGCAGAUUAAAACCCCUCCUCUGUGGAAAUCCUGGAGCUGCUGCUGUCUGUGAACUAAAUACCAUAUGGAGUGUGAUGCUGCUUCAGGCUGCCCUGGAGGCUAGGAUGGGUGAGGGGGCCUAAGGGUCUGUGAUUGACGGCCCCACCUAGACUCUAUGUAUCCAGGACACAGUGCUUCCUCCAAAGAAAGGAUGCGGGCAGGCAAGAGCCAUGUGUCCACUCUUUGCUAAAUAAUUUUUACUUUUGCACAUUAGAAAAAGUGUAAUGCACACUGCCAAAAUGCCCAAAUGGACAAGAAAAAGACAGACACCCAAUACUGUACCCACAGGUUAUGACUAUUGGUUUGCGUCAUCCUUGCUAAUAUUUGAUAUUAUCAAUAUUGAAAUUUUUGUCAGUCUAAUGAGCAAAAGUGAUAGCAUCUCAUUGUUUUACUUUUUAUCGGCCUGAUGUGUUUCGGUCGUUUGCAUUUCUUCUUCUAUGAACUGCCCAUCCUAUUCCAUGCCAGUGGUGUACAAAUGGGGGAUGGGGCACACAGCAAGAGUGAUCAUCUCUGCCAGGGAGGACAAUUUUACCACUGAUGCUAUUCAGGAUUGCUGUGCAUGAUGAUGAUAAAAAGAAGACUGGCUUGCAGCUGGUCUUAUUACCAUUUUAAAAUUCUCUAUAGACAAUGCCCCCUCUCCCUCAUCGCUGGUGCCUGGGUGGGGUGCUCCUACUGUCUCUCCCACGUUCUUCUGAGUUGUUUGUCUUAUUGCUUUGUAUGAUUUCUGUUUGUAUUUUUUUUCUUUUUUUUUUCUGUUUGUAUUUUGGACAUUAAUGCUUUGUUGUAUUUAUUGUGACUAUCUUCUCCCAUUCUGUUCUUGUCUUUUAAUUUUAUUUAUGGUUAGGUGUUUUGUUCCCUUUAACUUUUGAAGAUCAUCAGUUAACUUGUAUGGUAGGCAAUUAAUUUGUUUUAAAAACUCUCACUCUCUUUCCUUUGGGCAUUGCUUUAAAUUACUCCCAGACUGAAUUGGAGGACUUCUGGAUCCAUUUUCUAAUGACUGACAAGGGAGCAGCCAGAUGGUCUAGCUAUGACAGCACAGCUCGUCAAUACUAGAUAUUUUGGGGAGAUGAAUUGUAUCAGAGCAAAAAAUCUCUCUGCGCAAAGGAUGAGUCAAGGGCAUGACUGACUGGCUGCUAGCAUCUGCAAUCAACUCUGGUUUGCUACCCUCUGACUCACUGAUUAAAGCAUAAAUAGAUUGGGCAGGAUCUUGGCUUUUAGUUCAGAGAAACUUUCUUGAUAUUCAGGGGGUUGGUAGAGGAGAUUAUAACUCUGCCUCCAAGGAUGCCGCCUUUGUUAGGAACGGUGACCACGUGAGAACUUUCUUUUGCAUGUAGAAAGACCAGAAUAAAGUUAGCCUUUCUGCUGCCACUGCUUAUGUUCCUUGCUCAAGCUAUGGCUGGUCUUUGUGAAUUUCCCCGGACAUACCCAUAGCCUUGCCUGAGGAUGGGACUUGUGAGUCAGUGGUGGCCAUCACCUUGGGCUGGUGGUGUAUGCAUGUAUUUCAUGAAUAGCUGCCACUACCACUUACAGCCUCACUUACCUGCAUGUUUGUUCAGAGGCAGAUUGUCAGCCAAAAAAGAAUGAGCCCUGUGACACUGCAAGCAAAAAAAGGAUUAGCUGUGCAAACAGAAGUCUGCAACAAGACAUGAUCCUCUGAAAAACAAGCCAGCCACAUGCCUAAAACCUCAUCUAUAGUAUUUCAGCUUUUCCGUUCCCAGCCUCAUCGCGCACACACCAUUAACUUGCACACGCCAGAAACUCUCACACAGCCACACACUUAUGUAGGCUCACGUCAACUUAAUAUGCAGAAAUAUAGUCACAUACAAUUAUAAACAUUCACAUAGAACUACAUUCAUACCACACACCUGCACAAAACUACACACAUACACUGAUACAUGUUGCACAUACAUCCUCAUACAUGCCCUCACAUACAGGUACGCACUCACACACAUUAUACAUUCACACACAAAUAACCACACACACAUUUCAUAUAACCUUCCUUCUCUACCAGGAACACACACUUUCUCACCUGGAGAUCUGGGUAGCAUUUGUAAUAAAAAUGCUCCCAGAAGUUUCCUUCCUGCUGUUUGGCUGCUGAAAUUUGUGGGACAAGUAGUGGGAGGGACACUCAGGCCUGAGUCAGAUGACCAAGUGCUCUGACUGGGAGCUCUGACUGGUGCUCUGACCAGGGGCGACCACAGAACCUCACACACAGAAAGACUUCAAUAUUUAUUGAGAAAAAUCAAAGAAUUUGUGAUUUACCCCAUAACCUUUUCUUUGUCUAAAUUUUAAAAUUAAAAACAACUUUUUAUUAGAGUAAUUUCUUGUCUCUUUCCCCUUGCCUAACUUCUAACAGACAUGCCCAAGGUGAUAUGCAGAUCUCUUAUACUAAAACCCUCUCUGGAGAGUAGAAAACCCACAUAACUUCCUAAGUCUUUUGAGAAUGUAAUCGGAGCUGUAAUUAGAGCUCAUCUAAUCCAAGGCUGUCAUGUUAUAGAUGAGUGAACUGAGGCCCAGAGAUAUUAAGUGAUUUCUGCAAAGUCACCCUGCUGGUUGGUAGCAGAACAGGGACAAGGGACUCAACAGCCUGAUUCCUGGACCAGUGCUAUCCUACACUUUGCACUUUGGACUUGACUGAUUUUAUU